AGGACGAACGCUGGCGGCGCGCUUAAUACAUGCAAGUCGAACGAGAAGCUCGGAGCUUGCUCCGGGCGGACAGUGGCGAACGGGUGAGGAACACGUGAGGAACCUGCCCUGGAGACCGGGACAAGCCGGGGAAACCUGGUCUAAUACCGGAUGCCCUCAUCGGAUCGCAUGGUCUGAUGAGGAAAUGGAUUCCGCUCCAGGAUGGCCUCGCGGCCUAUCAGCUUGUUGGUGAGGUAACGGCUCACCAAGGCUUCGACGGGUAGCUGGUCUGAGAGGAUGUCCAGCCACACUGGGACUGAGACACGGCCCAGACUCCUACGGGAGGCAGCAGUAGGGAAUCUUGCGCAAUGGGCGAAAGCCUGACGCAGCGACGCCGCGUGCGGGAUGAAGGCCUUCGGGUUGUAAACCGCUUUCAGCAGGGACGAAAGUGACGGUACCUGCAGAAGAAGCCCGGCAACUACGUGCCAGCAGCCGC
rnacentral:rRNA from 1 species